CGCACGGGUGAGUAACACGUGACUAACCUACCCUCGAGUGGGGAAUAACCUAGAGAAAUCUGGGCUAAUACCGCAUAACACUCACGAGUCAAAGCAGCAAUGCGCUUGAGGAGGGGGUCGCGGCAGAUUAGCUAGUUGGCGGGGUAAUGGCCCACCAAGGCAAUGAUCUGUAUCCGGCCUGAGAGGGCGCACGGACACACUGGAACUGAAACACGGUCCAG
rnacentral:rRNA from 1 species